rnacentral:rRNA from 1 species
UACGUAGGGUGCAAGCGUUAAUCGGAAUUACUGGGCGUAAAGCGUGCGCAGGCGGUGAUGUAAGACAGAUGUGAAAUCCCCGGGCUCAACCUGGGAACUGCAUUUGUGACUGCAUCGCUAGAGUACGGCAGAGGGGAUGGAAUUCCGCGUGUAGCAGUGAAAUGCGUAGAUAUGCGGAGGAACACCGAUGGCGAAGGCAAUCCCCUGGACCUGUACUGACGCUCAUGCACCGAAAGGCGUGGGGAGCAAACAGG